CCGAGGCCGAGGGCCACUGUGAGCCACUGAAGGCCUGAUGGCUGCGUCUGAGUGCCCUCCACACCUGCCGAUGCUGAAGGGUUCACCUGGAACCAGGUGCUUCCCUGGGGGCCUGUGGUGGCCUGUCUGCUGGACACAGGCCAGUCAGGAGCUGGCUGGACCCGGCCUGCUGGGCACUUGCUGGUCAGGACAGAGUCCUUUCUCAGGGCCCAGACAUCCUCUGCACUGUGGGCUCAUGUGACCUGCUGCCUUUGGGACAGGUGACCAAGGUGCCCUCAGCCCUGGGCUUGGGGCUACUGCUGUGUGGAGAGCCGCCCCCGGGGCUCUUGAGGUGAUGCCAGCCUUGGCUUUUCUGAAGUGGCAAUGUGUCUGGUGCCGCAGGCUGGGGCAGCACACAGGACUGGUGUAAGUCCUGCUCUCCCCACUGGAGGGCCUGAGUCUGCUGCCCACGGGAGAAGAGAGGAUCCCACAUCUAGAAGGGAAAGAGGAGAUUCACCUCUGCUCUGCCCUUUGUUCUCUCCAGGCUCUCGGCCACAUGGAUGGAUGGAUGGUGCUGCCCACAGGGAGGGUGGGUCUCCCCACUGGGCCCACUGAUUCACAGAAGAGUCUCCUCCACACACACCCUUACCAACAUGCACAAGAUAUUCCUCUACCAGUGUUCUGAGUAUUCCUUAAUCCAGACAGAAUGACACCUCAAACUCACUAUCAGACCUCAGAAGGAGAAUUCUGUAAUUACGGAUUCGCAUAACCAACAUGGACCACAAAAAUCCUUAUUGGUUCAUAGUGCAGAGAUGUGCUGUCGUGGGAAAUACAGGGGACCGUCACUCUCUCCACCCUCCACUAAUGGCACGUUGAACCACGGGGGAAAAGUCUUGUCUCCACAGGCUGAGUUUUCAUGUCCUUGGUCCACACUAUGUAAACUUAUUUCUUUCCUUUUGAAAUUUCUUAGUAUUUUAAUUGGCAUAGAAUUGCACACAUGUAUGAGAUAGGAUGUGAUAUUUUGAUAUGUGUAUGCAAGUAAUGAUCAAAUCAGAGAAAUUGUAUCCAUCAUUUCAAAAGUUCACCAUUUCUUUGUCUUGGGAACAUGCAUAAUGUUUCUUCUAGCUAUUUUGAAAUGUACAGCAAGUCACUAUUGACCGCACUCUGGAGAAGUGGAACUUGUUCCUCUCAAUGAGGAACUGUGUUUUUGUGUCCCACUCUCUGAAGCUUCCUGUCCCCCCCCCCAUCAUGCCCAGCCUCUGGCCACCACUGAUCCUCUCUCCAGUUCUAUGGCAUCAAGUUUUAAACUUCCGCCUACAAGUGAGAACAGGUGGCAUUUGUCUUUCUGGGCCUGGGUUAGUUCACGUGACCUCAUGUUCUCCAGUUCUACUCACAUGGCCACAGAUGACAGGAUUAUGUUCCUUUUAUGGUCGACUGUUACUCCACAGUGUAGAUACGCCACUUUUUUCUGUGUCCACUCUUCCACUGAUGGGCACCUCGAGCGAUUCCCUGCA
rnacentral:lncRNA from 1 species